rnacentral:rRNA from 1 species
GACGUAGGGCGCGAGCGUUGUCCGGAUUCAUUGGGUUUAAAGGGUGCGCAGGCGGGAAAUUAAGUCAGGGGUGAAAGACGGUUGCUCAACAAUCGCAGUGCCUUUGAUACUGGUUUUCUUGGGUGACCUUGAGGUAGGCGGAAUGGGUGGUGUAGCGGUGAAAUGCAUAGAUACCACCCAGAACUCCGAUUGCGAAGGCAGCCUACUGGAGGUUCACCGACGCUCAGGCACGAAAGCGUGGGGAUCAAACAGG